rnacentral:lncRNA from 1 species
ACCGAAUUCAUGGGAUCACGGCCCACAUUUUCACCCACGUUUGAAAAUUUAAUUUCGAAUAUCAUAUUCAAAUUCGAUUUUAAAUUUUUAAACCCCCAACCAACUAGAAAAUAUAUGUUAUUCUAACAAUCCUAUUCGAAAUUCGAUUUCGAAUUUCGAACAAACUCCCAAAAUAUCUCCCAACCAACAUCCAUUCGAAUUUUGAAUACCUAACCACAACAACCGAUUCAAAAUUCGAUUUCGAAUUUUGAAUUCUCAACCAACCUCCAAAAUAUCUUCCAACCAACCACAACAACCCAUUCAAAAUUCGAUUUCGAAUUUCGAAUUCCCAACCAACCCCAAAAUAUCCUCCAACUAUCCAACAACCGAUUCAAAAUUCGAUUUUGAAUUUCGAAUCCCCAAUCAAUUCCCAAAAUAUCCUCCAACCAUCCAACAACCGAUUCAAAAUUCGAUUUUGAAUUUCGAAUCCCCAACCAAUUCCUAAAAUAUCCUCCAACCAUCCAACAACUGAUUCAAAAUUCGAUUUCGAAUUUUGAAUUCUCAACCAAGCCCCAAAAUAUCUUCCAACCAACCACAACAACCCAUUCAAAAUUCGAUUUCGAAUUUCGAAUUCCCAACCAACCCCAAAAUAUCCUCCAACUAUCCAACAACCGAUUCAAAAUUCGAUUUUGAAUUUCGAAUCCCCAAUCAAUUCCCAAAAUAUCCUCCAACCAUCCAACAACCGAUUCAAAAUUCGAUUUUGAAUUUCGAAUCCCCAACCAAUUCCUAAAAUAUCCUCCAACCAUCCAACAACUGAUUCAAAAUUCGAUUUCGAAUUUUGAAUUCUCAACCAAGCCCCAAAAUAUCUUCCAACCAACCACAACAACCCAUUCAAAAUUCGAUUCCGAAUUUCGAAUUCCCAACCAAUCCCGAAAUAUCUUUCAACCAACCACAACAAUCUAUUCAAAAUUCAAAUUCGAAUUUCGAAUCCCUAACUGACUCCUCAAAAUAUCUCUCGCCACCUCUCCCAUUAUAAAUAGGAGAAUCGAAAUCAAACGUCGGACGAUAGACGAAGAAGAGAAAAAAAUAAAUAGAUUGCUAUACACGUUCCGACAUACAAAAAAAAUUCAAAGAGGAAAGAUCGCCGAGCUGCGGAAAGAAGGAGAGAUCGCCGAGCCGUGGAAAGAAUGAGAGAUCGCCGAGCCGCGA